GCACUUGUGGGAUGUUUUACAGAAGACAAGAACUAAGAUGAUGGUCUCACCCAAAGUCCAGAAAGGAGAACUAAGAUUUCAUGACAGUCAUUCUGAUCUGGCCUGGAGAAAGCAGAACUGAAGAUACCUGGAGGAAGCUAGGCCAAGAAUGAAAAAGCAUCAUAUGGGAACAAAUAUAAUUAAGCCAUAUUAGCUGCCAUAUUGCCCCAGAAGAGGAGUGGCAGCUCCGUAACAGCAACAGCAGAAAGAGCCCAUGAAGAAAGAGAAAAGCAGAUGGGUCUCCAAAUAUGUCAUGUGUAUGCAGGGAGCAUCCCGUGCAUGAAUUAUUUUGCAGUGGUGAUGACUGAAGCCUUCAAGAUCACCGCUACAUUAGGAGAAAAGUUAGCUAGGCAUUCUUAGACACCAGCUUCCAUUUCUUUUCUAUGAAAAAGCCAUGGAGGAAAAAAAACAUCAAGGCAGGAGUACACCAAACUAUGGUAUUGAGUCCAACCAUUUAUGGAGAUUUUCAAGACCAGCCUGGAUUUGAGAGGAAAAGAAAAAAAACAGGCCAAGGAAUGGGCUGCAAAGAGAAUCUCUAAGUCUGUGAUGCCGCAAAAGCUUGAAAGGUCCUGUGUUCCUUCACCACAGCAUUAUCCAGAAAACCCAAGAUGCUUUCAGUGAGAGGAUACCUUUGAGGAAGGAGAUGAAGUAAAGCAUUUCAGAUGCCUUGGAGUUCUUGAGAAUCUUGAAAAUGCUUGUUGGAAGCUUUUUUUUCUUUUUCUAAGUGGAUUAGAGAUUUGGUUGGAUUAGGGCCUUAAUAAAUACCUACAGUGUUUGUCUUU